UCCAAAUCUCCAUGGCUCUGGCUCUCCAGAAUUUGGGUACAUGUGCAAUUGAUUGUUGCUGGAAGGAACAACUGGUACUUGGAUAUUUUCAUCAUCAACAUUGAUUGGAUUUGUGAAAGAACUGCCAGUGAGAUGAUUGAUUUUGUCUAAUCGUGUCUUUAUCUGUGAAUAUUCCAUUUGCGCAUUCUUGGAUCCAUCAUCUAAUAGUGAGCUUCCAUUCACUUGACGGUAAAAGUCCUGAAACAUGGUCGCUUUCUCCAUUUGUUGAUACGUUGAAAUGGAAAUGGGAAUCUUGUUGGGCUGGCAUCCAGUGAUAGGAUCUUCUGUUUCCAAGUUGGACACUUGGUACGAUCUGAUUCCUACAGCUCCUUGAGUGACUGAGGAUUCAAUAGAAUCUUGAGACGAUACAAAUUCUUCCUCAAAACAUUGGCUAUGUGCCUCAUCUAAAUUCCUUUCUGUCAAUGAGUUCACACUGUCUCUCUGAUUUUCUGCAGAUUCAUGGAGUGUCCUAGAAAUCUGGCAGUAGAUUGGUUGACUUGAUAUAUCUUUAUGCCAUUUGGUGGCAUCAUCUGGACUUGUCAUUCGAAC
rnacentral:lncRNA from 1 species